rnacentral:rRNA from 1 species
CAGCCGCCACGGGAAUACGGAGGGGGCUAGCGUUGCUCGGAAUUACUGGGCGUAAAGCGCACGUAGGCGGCUUUGUAAGUUAGAGGUGAAAGCCCGGAGCUCAACUCCGGAAUUGCCUUUAAGACUGCAGAGCUAGCAGGUGAGAGAGGUGAGUGGAAUUCCGAGUGUAGAGGUGAAAUUCGUAGAUAUUCGGAAGAACACCAGUGGCGAAGGCGGCUCACUGGCUCAUACUGGACGCUGAGGUGCGAAAGCGUGGGGAGCAAACAGGAUUAGAUACCCCCGUAGUCCCUGUCUCUUAUAC